GACGAACCGUCCUAACGUUGUUCGGAAUCACUGGGCUUAAAGGGCGCGUAGGCGGCUUGCCAAGUCAGGGGUGAAAUCCUGCAGCUUAACUGUAGAAGGGCCUUUGAUACUGGCGAGCUCGAGGGAGGUAGGGGUAUGUGGAACUUCCGGUGGAGCGGUGAAAUGCGUUGAUAUCGGAAGGAACGCCGGUGGCGAAAGCGACGUACUGGACCUCUUCUGACGCUGAGGCGCGAAAGCUAGGGGAGCAAACGGG
rnacentral:rRNA from 1 species